rnacentral:rRNA from 1 species
ACUCCUACGGGAGGCAGCAGUGGGGAAUCUUGCACAAUGGAGGAAACUCUGAUGCAGCGAUGCCGCGUGAGUGAAGAAGGCCUUUGGGUUGUAAAGCUCUUUUGUAGGGGAAGAUAAUGACUGUACCCUAAGAAUAAGGUCCGGCUGACUUCGUGCCAGCAGCCGCGGUAAUAC